rnacentral:lncRNA from 1 species
AAUUGAUUUAUGCAUCCAAAGAUACAUUAUAUAUUUCUGUGUCUCUAUUUAUAGAUGACAUUUAAGCAUCCAUAAACCGUCAGACAGAGGAAGGGGGUUCAGUGCAAAGAUUCUGUUGACCUAGGGUUGACUGCAUAAUGUCACUUGUUCGCAAUCUAUUAUUUAUUUUAUAUUUUGAAGAAUUUAAUGGGUAAUCCUAAUUGUUUGUUUUGGCAGGUAUGUGUUGUUAUCUCCUUCUAUCUAACAGUCGUACCUAAAUAGCAUAGUUUCAUCUGUGUUACCAUGUGAUGUACAUAAUUUCACAUUUGCCUCAGAUUAAGCUUAAUUUCCCACAGAAUAGAGCUGUCGUGACUGGACUUAGGUUGAUGUCCAAAGAGGUAAAUUAUUGGCAUGCCUAGAUAAUUUGGCCAUUUCCUAAUUCAUAAGUCUACAUUAAUUUUGAUUUUGAGUUGACUGAUUUCUUUUCAAGGUCUGCUUCCUUAACGGAGUGACCAAUGUUUUUCAACUAAAUUUAUCAUAUGAUGCAGGAAGCAGGGCAGGAUAUGAAAUGAGAUCUCAUUGGUGGAAGUAUUGCCAGUAGCAGAACCCAAUGAAAAUGAAACUAUUUCAAGGCAGCAGUUGGCAGUUGCAAGUGAAUGGAGGCCCUUGACAAAAUUCUCAAGCGGUUGCAAUGAUGGUAAUUUCUUCUCCUGCUUUGUAUUUAUUUGUUAUCUAAUUAGGAAGCGUGAAGUAUCUUGAAUCAUUUUCUGUAUCUGGAAUAUAUGCAAGAGUUUCUAAAAUUUUGAUAUGAGUGUAAUGAUGGUAAUUUCUGUUUUCUGUCUGUCAUCAAAUGUUAGAAAACUUUCAUUGAGACCCUUGAACCGAGUCAUUUUUGACAAGUGAAGGACAAUUGCUGAAGAGUGGGAAUGGUGCUAGAUUGGGGAAUAAAGACAAAGGAGGUAAAUUAUUUGCAGUUUAUUCAGCAUUAUUUGCUUUGGACCACCGCCUGAUUCACAAGUCUCCAUAAUUUGGCUUUUGACCAGUUAAUAAAUUUUUAAUUCCAUUGGUGCUAAAUGUACACGUGAAGCAGGCAGAGCAGGACUGUGGAAAUGAGAAGGUUUUUAGUGAAAGCUUAAACUCAGGUAAUUCUAAAAAGUACAUGUUUUUGCUGAUUUAUCUAAAUCAGGAAAUUUUAUUUCCAUCUGUUACAAGAUAAAACAGAAACAGAACACAAAGAAAAAUAUUCUACUUCUUGUGGCAAUCUUGCCUUCAUUCAGACAAUGAAACCAUUUCCUUUCACCAAUUUCUUCCAAAAGUUUGAAUAAGUUUCAUGGUUGGACAUAGUUAGCUUCUUUUUCUUUUUGGUGCAUUUAGGUCCUAUCAAGUGACAGCCAUAAGUAUGAUUGCAUUAUUGGGAAAUUUUAGGUUUGGAUGGCUCCCCAUGUUAUUGCCAAGAAAGUCCUCAUGUCAGAAGCUGCGGUUCUUUUCAUCAGCCUGAACCCGAACCUGUCGUUAUGGAUAACUCAGGUUUUUGUCAUCAACUAUAUCAUCUUUUUUACUGUUUUGAAACUCUUAAGAUUAAACUUCAGUAAAGUUGUUUCAGUUAUCCAUGUAAUCAGGCUAAGGAUAUUUAGCAGCUUAUUUAGGCAACUGCCAGAAUUCAGUUUGUUUGCUCGAAACUUGUAUGGUGACAAGGAUACUGGCAAGGAUAGUGAGAUAGUUUUUUGUGUGAGUGAAAUUUGAAAGCUUGGGUGUUCUGGGAUUUGCAAUUGCAAUCAUCCUCUGAGUCAGGUGAUUUCUUCUCCUGCUCUGUCUUGAUUUUCUCUCUAAUUGAAAGCAUAAAGUAUUUCAAUCAAAUUCUGUACCAGGAAUACGUAAAAGUUACUAAUAUUUUAUUUCCAUCUGUUUGCAUUGAUAACUCGGCGGCAUAUGUUCUAGUUAAAGAACAAACAGAAACAGAGUUCAGGAAAAAGUUUCUUCGGCCACCAUAUUUGAAAAUGAAACCAUUUCCAGGAAGCAGUUGGCAGCAAAUUCAUAUGGAGUGUAGACAAUGAUGAGCGAAAAGGUGAUACGCAAUUUCUUUUUUUUUUUUUUUAAGUGAAAUUAUUUGUUAGAUUGAAGCUGAUAUUGUAAGAAGGCCAUUGAGCUAACCUAUGUCGCCACUUGCCUAGAUUGCAGGGGGUCAAGACUCAAAAGAAGCACUGAAAUUUAAAAAAGCAUGCAAUAGUUCUUUUGCCAUGUGUCAAUUAAUGCAAGUUUGAAUAAGUUUAUUGGCUGAACGAUGUUAGCUUCUUUUCCUUUCGUGCACUUUGGUAUGCUAUCAAGUGACAGCCGUAUGUAUGGCUUGCGUAUAGCUGCUGCUGGGAAAAUUGACGAUUUCAUGGCUGGCCGUGUUAUUGUCUUAAAUUAGUUGUGAUAAGCUGUUGCUUGGAGAUUCUGUUGCCAAGACUUUGCUCACAUCAGAAGCUGUGGAAUCUGAACCCUUCGUUAUGUAUCAUCUUUUUCAUUGUUUUAAAACUCUCAGGAUUAAACUUGAGCGAAUUUGUUCGGUUGUCUAUAUAAUCAUGUAUUGAGUAACCUCUCAGGAUACUGAGCAGGCAAAUGUUAUAACUCGGUUUGUUAGCCAAAAACUUGUUGAAGAUUCUUGACAAAGCUGCAUCAAGUGAAUUGUCGGAGCUCUGAGGGUGAGAGAAAUUAGAGGGUGUAUAGGGAUUUGGAUUUGUUAGGAAGUUAUCAUUUUUAUUUUUAUUUUUAUUUUUUUCACAGAAAAUCUUCUGGUGGUGCUAUAUUUUCAAACGACAGUCCGAUUCAAAACUUGAUAUUCCAAUUAUAUUCAUAAGCUUCUACAGUUAUCUUCAAAAAGACAAAUGGAAGGCUUUGAACGGCUUGGGUCUGAGUAUUGUAGUUUGAUUUAUUUUGAUGAAAGUACCUUUUGACAUUGAGAUUCUUUCAUGAGUUAAACAUUCUUUUUAAAACCAACUUAUUAAAAAAAAAAAGUAACUAACAUAUAUUAUUUUGUUAGUGCUUUUUAAAUCAAAUAUAAAAAAGAGAACUGUAAUUCUUAGCAACCAAUUUUUCACUGAGUACACCUACAACAAACUAUUAAAAAAUAAAGUGAUAGAAAAUGCCUGAUUUUUCGUACUUUCUAAUUACUUUUGGUCCUAAAAUAUGGCGAUUUGUGUAAUAAUAAGCCCAUGUAUAUCUUUAUGCCAUUAGUUUGAUAAAUAGCUAUCAAGGAUAACUUAUUAAGCUAAAAAUAUUUGAAGGAUAAAAUGGUAAAACUAAAAGGGUGGAGUAAUAUAGUUAUUUAAGAUUACAUAGUAAGUCAACUAUAUUCGAGGGAUAAAAUAUUAAAACUUGAAUAGUGAUAUUAAAAAUAUCUCAGCUAUUAUACUAUUAAACCAUAUGCCGUAAUAAUAUUUUUUUUCAAACUUUAAAAAAUUCAGGAUUUUAAAUUAAAACAUGGAUUUCUUUAAGAUGCUAUAUGUGUUUUUACAGUAUUGAUAGUGGGAUUAGUGUGGACCUUUAGAUGAAAGAGUUUUAAUCUGAAUCAUUCAUUUAAUAUAAUAGAUAAUUAAAUAAUUAAUUAAAAUAUAUCAGGUAACUUAUAGGUUGCAGGUAAAAAAUUAAUUUUUUAAUUUUAAAUUAAAAUUAAUUUGGAACAAAACCAUCCACACCCCUAAGGUUUACUUAAAUGAUCAUAUAAAUCCCUUUAGUUUCUACAUAGUUAUACAAACCCUCUUAAUUUCAUAAAUUAUUAUUAUACUUUUAAUUAAAACAACCUAAAUGAAUAUAAAUAUAGUAAUAGGAUAGAAAUAAUAAAUAAAUAUCAGAUGAAACAAAUAAAAUAUUACAAUAAAUACAAUUAAUUAAAUAACAUGUAGGAUGAAAAUUUUAUUCAUAUUAAGUUAUUAUUAGUCGAUCUCGAUGGAUUUACUCAAAUUAAUUAAUCCAAAAUUUAAUUUUAAGAUUGAUAUUAAUAUGGACAUAAUUAAAUAAGAUGUUGUAAUAUAUAUUACUUUGAAUGUUAAGUAUAAUUAUCUAAUAUUAUUAGUAUGUGAAAUAGAUUUUAAUAUUAUUAAAAGAAUAUGACAAUAUAUAAUUUUGACAUAAAUUUUUUAGUAUUCAUAAUAUUUUAUAAAUUUUAUCUUAUUUUAUAUAUUAUAUUUUUUAAUUUUAAUGUAUUAUAUAUGAUCAUUUAAGCAAAUUUUGGAGGUGCGGUGGUCUUUUCCCUAUUAAUUUUGUAGCAUAUUUAAAGUGUUAUAUCAUACAUCAUACAUCGCACUUUUGUUAAAGUAUUAUGUUAUUAAAAAUUAAACUUUGCAUUUAUAAUAUACUACCAUUUUAAUGUAAAUGUAACAAAAAAUAUGAAGAUAUUUUUAAGUAGUCAAUUGUAGCUUUCUAUUACAAAAUAGCAGUAUAGAAAUACAAUUGGUAAAAUGUAAUAAAAAUGGUAUGGAAAAAAGUUAGUAGAGGCAAUUAUUUUUGUAGUUGCUAAAACAUAUGAAGUGACACACACACACACACACACACACAUCAAGUACUUGUAUGUUCCCCUAACUUUUAUUAAUAGGAAGGAAAUUAAAUUCGUAAUUUUCCCGGUGAAUUAUGAAUUGAUAAAUGAAAUAUAAAUAUUAGUAAAAAUUAAUUUGUCGACUAAAGAAGUAAACCAUAUUUUAUGGGCAUUUAAUACAUUACUUUAAGGUCAAAUGAGAUAUAUCACAUGAUAUUUGAUACAGUAGUCCAAUUUUCAACAUUUGCAUAUAGUUUCUAAGCUAGUAAUCUAAUAAAAUAUACCAAAUGAGAAAUUCAAGGCUAUUAUUUAUAUUUCACAAUUGGACAAACACCAUACAUUAGAAUAAAAAAAUCUCACAGUACAGACGACAUCUGUUUGCAUGUUUUGAAAAUAGAUUUUGAAAAUAGUUUAAUUACAUGAUAAUUAAAUUAUAUUAUAAAACUAAGAAUAUGAUUUAAGUACUAUUUUAGCAAUUUUGAGUCUCACAUUGAGUAUUCAAGUUAAUUAAAUGUUGAAACUCUUUUCUAUUUGGCUUGAAAUCACUACUUAAUUAAAUUACAAAAAGUCGAUAAUGAAUGAUGUAGGACACAUAUGUAAAAUAAAUUUUAAAGUGUAAUUAAACAUUCCUAUCAAUAUUAGUUUCGUAUACAUGUUCAUAUAUUUUAUUGAAACCAUAUAUAAUUAAAUUUUGUGUAAUUAAGUAAAAUAUAUUAUUCAAGUGAAUUUAUGAGAAUAUUUAAAAUUAUAGGGGUGGUCACUGAAAUUUGCCAAACUUGAGCCAACCGUGCAUGAUCCAAACAAUUUAUUUUAAUAAUUCUCAAUAUGUUAGUCUGUUUGACUGUUGGCAAAAUAAAUUCCUAUCAGCAAUGCAACACAAUUCAAAAUCAUAUCUGCAUACAACGAACAAUAUCUCAUCAAAGAUCAAAUUAUACAUUUUUUACACCAAAGCAUAAAUAUCUAAAUUAUCCCUCUUCAACUCACCAAGCUCAUACCUAACAACAGCAAGAUUAAAUGUCAUUUGAUCCAUCUUUUUUAGUAAGCUUUAUCAAUUCUUCUCAUGGUUGCAAUUUUGAAAGCUCGCUUCGCUAUUUCCAUUUGCUUUUAUGCUUUGUUUGAGCUCCAUCUUUUCUCUCCAUCUACAUUUUACACUGUAAAAAAAAUUUUAAAAAAAUUACAAAGCUUCUUAUACUAGAAUAUGAGCAACAAUAUAAAUAAUAAACAAUAAAGUUAUGAUAGCACAACAUACUCAUUAAAGUGCUUCUUUUUUUUUUUCAACAAGAAAUUACUACUGAAUUAAAGAAUUGGCUUUGCAUUAAGGUUUGCCUUCAAUAACUCAACUCCCCACUUGGGUUUUGUCGUUUUCUUAAAAUCUCUGCUCAAUCAAUUUAAAGAUCCAUUUUUUUUUUCUUUCCAAAGAUCUAAAAGCAAUGUCUUUUAUUGGUACCCAACAAAAAUGCAAGGUCUGUGAGAAGACAGUUUGUCCAGUUGAGCAGUUAUCUGCUGAUGGGGUUGUUUAUCACAAGUCUUGCUUCAAGUGCUAUCACGGCAAAGGCACACUCAAGCUAAGCAAUUACUCAUCCCUGGAAGGUGUUCUUUACUGUAAGCCUCACUUUGAGCAGCUUUUGAAGGAGUCGAGUAACUUCAACCAGAAUUUCCAAUUACCUGCAAAGUCAGCUGAGAAGUUAACUCCUGAGCUGAGAAGGUCGCCUAGCAAAGUUGCCAGCAUGUUCUCUGGGCCCAAUAAAAAUGUGCUUCUUGCAGUAAAACAGUGUGUCCGUGGGAGAAGGUAGCAGUGGAAAACCAAGCCUCUCACAAGACAUGUUUCAAGUGCUCACAUGGUGGUUAUUCCAUUAGCCCGUCAAAUUACGCAGCCCUAGAAGGCAUCUUGUAUUGCAAACAUAAUUUCUCCCAAUUGUUCAAGGAAAAAGGCAGCUACAACCACCUUAUAUCAAAUCUGCUCCCAUGAAGCGUGCUGCAGUCUCUGUUCAAGAAGCUUGAACACGUUAUGUUAUCUUCCAUAAAUCUUAUUUGGCGUGGGUUUUCUCUGGCUUGAGGGUGUGCUUUCUAUUUUGAUCCCUCUUGUUGUUUUUGCGGGGAACUACCAAACCUUCGGUUCCCUCUGCUUCUUUGGAUCAUCUUUGUUUGGACAAAUUUCAUGUAAUUAGAGAUACCGAUUUAUGGGAGGCAUAAUCCCAUGGUCGUAAAUUGACCAUUUUCUGGCAAUGUUCUUUUUAAAAAGAGAUGAGCAGUUGUUUAAAAAAAAAAAAAAUUGCUUGCCUUCAUCAUUGUAUAUUACCAAACUGCUAUGUAUAGCUGCUAACUAUGAGCAUCCGAAAAUAUGGUGCAUCGUGAUUCAUGUAGUGCAAUAUGGCUACCAACGCAUCCUAAAUGGAGUAUUACUCAGUUAGUCAGCAAAAUAAGACAACAUAACUGAUAUUAAAAAAAAAAAAAAACUACAUUAAUAAGUGGGCAAGAUCAUGCCAGUUUAACUUUUCGCGCGUCGCUGCUGGAGAUGAUCAAAUCGGGGCAUAGAAAAGGAGAAUGGAAUCAGAGGCUAAGAUUAAUAAGUGGGCUUCUGCUUGCUUUGCCCUCUUUCUUAAACGAUUGGUAGACUGCUGCUUCCGCCGAUUAACCGGGUCUUCAACCACUGCUUUUACUGCCUGCCAUCUUGUUGUUUGUCGAAGGGAUGAAUUCGAGUCGAAAAGAGAAAGCGCGCUGAAAAAGAUAAAUCACUAGUGGUUAACUGCUGACUCAGCCAAGUGUUGGCUUCACUUGAUUCACCGAUUGAGGUUAUUUUGUCUUCUAUCUAAUGCAGCGAAGAAGCUUUGCUGCUUAACAUGCUGCAAUGCAACUUUAUCCUUUGAAGUUCACACUCCAGGGCUGCGCACUUUAUGUAAUCCUAUGAGUAAAAAGAAUUUGUUUUCAAAUGUGAAAAAAGAAAAUGUAAGGUAGUAACUAAAUAUAUUAUAGCAUCAAAGCAAGAUUUGAUAUGAAUUUAGUACAACAAAGAACAUCAAAUCUGUGAUUCCUUGUCUAAUGUCACCAUCGAGCAACAAAUUUAAAAGCCUACCUAUCAAAUACACGAGGCAAUAAACGGAGAAAAAGUUGAAUUACAAGAACAAGUUUACAAUUCUUGUCAAUGGUUAAUGAUUUGUGAACUGAGAUAUCAUUCAAGAAUCCAAUUUCAAUACAACAACCUAAAAGAUAAACAGAUGAUGAAUUUUAUGAGAUAAAAAAGGAGAUCGUGUUUUAUCGUAUCUCUAUUUUCUUUCUUUUUAAAUUUAUGAGAUAAAGCGGUUGGUCCAGUUACGGUGUUAUGCUAACGGGUUUAAAGGUUCCGAUCCAAUGAGUUAGGGUGGAAUAUGAAUAUAUAAAUUCCAUAGCAUGUAAGGACUAGGAUUUGUUUGUUCAUAUCAAGAAAAAAAAUCUGAAAAUUUGAUGAUCAGAAGAUAAAAACACUUAAACACGUUUAAGUAUCAAUAAAUACUUGCUGCUGUAGUUUGAAAAUAAAAUGAGUUUAUCUUGUUGCUGUUUGAUAAAAAUUUAUACUAUUUUUAUUAAUUUUGUCAAAAUCAAUAUUUAGACAUUAUAUUUACCAAGCAUUAUCAUUUUUUUAAUCUCAUAAUUAAUUAAAAUUUUCAUUUCAUUCAAUACAGUAAUUAAUUAGAAUUGUAGCAUAAGCCCAUUUUAAUUUUCUUUCUUUAGGCUAUAUACGCUACUUAUAAGAAAAACUUAUGGACCAUUGACCUAGGCUUAUACAAUAAGCCAAUUUAGAAAUUGUAGACUCACUCUAUGGAUUACUCAUGAGUUGUGGAUGAUGAGUUCUUCACUAACGAAGUGCAUUGGAUAUCAUAUAACGUAAAAACACACAUUGUCAUUAGUCUAUUGCAAGCAUUCCCAUUUGGCACCGAAUCUUUCUCAUUAGCCUAUUGCAAGCGAUCCCAGCCACUUGGAAUCAAAAUUUAGUGAAUUUACAUAUGUUGUCUCGAAGUGGUGUCUCUUAUGGUUGGGUGUUUUUAUAAAUUUCUUAAUUGCUUCGAAUACCAUGGCUGAUGCAACCGUUUCUACUAUCUUGGAGCAGCUGAUUUCCUUCGCUGCUGAAGAGAUAAAACAACAGGUGAUCGAAGUUGCACCCCUCAUAUUACAAAUGCUUCCAAUGAUUUUAAUUGGUUUUGUUUUUAUCAAAAACAUUAUAUAUUUUUUCUUUAUUUUAUUUAUCUGGUAAUUUUAGAUUUUGAAAUUUGAAUUGAAUUUAAUUAAAAGGUGAUGUAGUAACCACUUAUUUUUAUUUUUUUUUAUUUAUAUUCUCAAUAACUACUCAUAGUUUGGUAACUUACUAUAACUUCCAUAUCUAAGAAAUGAUCCAAACCCACAAUUUUAACUCAAGUUUGUCAAACAGUCAUUAAUUCAAUGUUUAGUAAAAAAAACACUUCUCAGCACAGAAUUCCAUGUCCAUUACUUAGACUCUAUGAAAAAUUUCAUAAUUUUCUUACAUUCUUUGAGUUUGGUAAGUGAUUUCAUAUAUUUUCUAUUCAAUAUAAAUUUUAAUUUGUUUUCUUAUAUACUCUCUUUGCUGAAUUUGUAUCUUUUAUGAUUCUUAGAUUUUGGGCUCUAACUUUUUAGGAUUUGAUAGUCACAUUUUAUGCCAUGCUUAGAUUGAUUUUCAUGAUUUUUACUACCCGUUAAGUGACUUAGAAUUUGACAAAAGUUUGAAAGGAAAUCUGCUUCAGGAUUCUGUUUUAAUUGACCCUUUAGUGGAAAUAAAAUGCUUAUAACUUAAUGUGGAUGCUAUGUAAAAUCAUGAAAUUUGGAUAGAAUUAACUAGAAAUAUGUACAAGACUCUCCAUGAAGUCUCAUAAUUUUUCAUUCGGUCUGGGGUGUUACAGGUGAAGCUUGUGGUUGGUGUCGAAAAAGAAGUGAAAAGCCUUACCAGCCACCUUCAAGCCAUUCAAGCUGUGCUCGAUGAUGCAGAGGAAAAGCAAGUGAAGGACAAAGCUGUUAGACAUUGGCUGGGUAGGCUCAAGUAUGCAUCCUACGACAUUGAAGAUGUGUUGGAUGAGUGGAUCACAGGAAGACGCAAAUUGCAAAUUGAGGGUGGCAUUGGUGAAAAUGCUCUUAUUGCUCCUCAUAAGAAAAAGAAGGUACGUUUCUGCUUUCGUGCCUCUUGUCUUGGAUUCAAAACAGAAGAAUUUGGCUUCAAACAAGUCUUUCUACGUCAUGACAUUGCCAACAAGAUCAAAGAAAUGAAUGAAGAGCUACAUGAUAUUGCUACUCAAAAAGACAUGUUUAAUCUUGUUAAGAGUGGCAAUAACAGUAGUGAAAGACCAAGGCGUGUACAGAGUACCUCCUUGAUUGAUGAGGAAGAGAUUUGUGGUAGAGUUGGUGAGAAGAAUGAACUCAUAAGCAAGCUGUUGUGUGAGAGUAGCGAGCAACAAAAAGGCCUCCAUAUCAUCUCAAUUGUUGGUAUGGGAGGCAUAGGGAAAACUACUCUUGCACAACUAGCUUGUAAUCAUGACGAGGUGAAGAGAAAGUUCGACAAAAUUCUGUGGGUGUGUGUAUCAGAAACUUUUGAGGAGUUUAGGGUUGCCAAAGCAAUCGUUGAAGCUUUGGAUGGUCGUGAAUCUCAUUUAGGUGAAUUCCAAUCUCUUCUUCAACAUAUUGAUGAAUCCAUUGCAGGGAAGACCUUUCUUCUUGUCUUAGAUGACGUGUGGGAUGGAAAUUACUUGAAAUGGGAACCAUUCUACCGUUGUCUAAAGAAUGGUCUCCAUGGAAGUAAAAUUAUAGUUACCACACGUAGUGGGUCCGUUGCAUCCAUGAUGGGAUCCAUAGAUAUUAUUCCCAUUAAGGAAUUAGCUGAAGAGGAAUGUUGGUUGUUGUUUAACAAGAUAGCAUUUUUUGGUAGGCCUAUUGAGGAACGUGAAAAAUUAGAACAAAUUGGGCAAAGAAUUGCAGGCAAGUGCAAAGGUUUACCUCUUGCAGCAAAGACAAUAGGGAGUCUCAUGCGUUCUAAACAAACUGAAGAAGAGUGGAAAAGAAUUUUAAAUAGUGAUUUAUGGAAAGUAGAAGAGAUUGAGAAAGAUGUUUUGUCCUCUUUAUUGUUGAGUUAUAAUGAUUUGCCAUCUAGAGUAAAAAGAUGUUUUUCAUAUUGUGCUGUCUUUCCAAAAGACUACAAUAUAAAAAAAGACGAACUAAUCACAUUAUGGAUGGCUCAAGGUUAUCUUAGUGCAGAAGCAGCAGAACAAGAUGAGGAGUUGGAGACUAUAGGUGAAGAGUAUUUUGGCAUCUUAGCUUCUCGCUCUUUCUUUCAAGAGUUUGAGAAAAGUUAUGAUAAUCGUAUUAUAGAGUGCAAGAUGCAUGAUAUGGUACAUGAUUUUGCCCGCUUUGUAAGUCAAAAUGAAUGUUUUUCGAUGGCAAUUAAUGGUAGUGAAGAACCAAACGCCACAAACGCUCUUGAUGAGAAGGUCCGUCAUUUAAUGUUAAUAUUUAGUAAAGCGGCUUCAUUACCUAUUUCCACUCUUAGAGUUAAAAGAAUGCGUACCCUCUUAAUUAACGAUCAUUCAUUAUUAAAUGCUGCGAUCCUAGAAGAAUUAUUUAGGGAAUUGACAAGUUUAAGGGCAUUAGAUUUUGGCGGAUCGUACCACUCAACGCGGUUGUUGACUCCGGAGGUUCCGAGAAACAUAGAAAAGCUGGUACUACCGGAGACAUUGUGUGAGUUAUAUAAUCUAGAAAAGUUAGAUAUUAGUGAUUGUUUUAAUCUUAAAGAAUUACCUGAAGGGAUUGGGAAGUUAAUAAACGUGAAGCAUUUACUAAAUAGAGGUACUAAUUCUUUAAGGUACAUGCCAGUAGGGAUUGGGAGAUUAACAGGUCUUAGGACCUUGGGUGAGUUCCACGUGAGUGCAGGAGGAGGUGUUGAUGGUAGGAAAGCAUGUAGGCUUGAAUCUCUUAAAAACUUGGAACACCUUCAAGUAUGUGGUAUAAGUAGACUGGGUGAUGUAUCAGAUGUGGGCGAGGCUAAGCGAUUAGAACUUGACAAAAAGAAAUACCUCUCCAGUUUGACCCUUUGGUUUGAUAAGGAGGAGGAAGAAGAAGGAGAAAGAAGGAAGAACGAGGACAAUCAACUUCUUCUUGAAGCCCUGCGACCACCUCUCAAUUUAAAGGAAUUAGAGAUUGAGUACUACCGAGGCAACACUGUUUUCCCCAGCUGGAUGACGUCAUUAACCAACUUGAAGAGUUUAGAUCUCUCUUCCUGCGAAAAUUGCGAGCAGCUGCCUCCUUUGGGAAAAUUGCAGUCCCUUGAAAAUCUCCACAUAUGGCGCAUGGAGAGUGUGAAGAGAGUGGGUGAUGAAUUUUUGGGGAUAGAAAGUGAUCAUCAUGGCUCAUCUUCAUCUUCAUCGGUUAUUAUUGCCUUCCCCAAAUUGAAAUCACUUUCAAUUGAGGUUCUGCGCGAAUUGGAGGAGUGGGAUUAUGGGAUUACAAGAACGGGAAACACCGUCAUCAACAUCAUGCCACGUCUUUCUUCAUUGACAAUUAAUUACUGCUCCAAAUUAAAGGCACUGCCCGACCACUUUCAUCAAACGACAACAUUGAAGGAAUUGCACAUUUGGAAGUGCAGGCUUCUGGAAGAACGUUAUUGCAAUGGGGAAGGAGAAGACUGGUCUAAGAUAUCACACAUUCCCAACCUCCAUAUUGGGCUUUGACAAGUAAUUUCUUCUCUUACUCUGAUUUGCUUUGUUGUUGUUUUUAAUCUAAUUAAGAAGCGUAAAUAGCAUUUUGAAUCAAACUCUAUAUCAGAAAUCUGCAAUACUUACUUUCUAAUAUUCUGAUUUUCAUAUCCUAUGAAUAUACGAUUUUUAAUUUGUGAGAUGGGUAACGUUACUGUAAAAGAUUAUUAAUGCAAUAUGAGUAAUUCUUUUGCAGGACAAGUGACCUACAUUUAGUUUGGCUUUGGAGUUGAAUAAUAACCUUUCGAGGUCCCGACAACCAAAAAACGAAGCUUAAUUUGCCACAGAUUGCACGUAUUGCCAUUAUUGACAAUUUUCUGCACAAGCGUGACUGAACUUAGGUUGAUGUCAAAAGAGGUAAAUUAUUGGCAUGCCUGACUAUUUUGACCAUUACAUGAUUCAUAAGUUUACAUUAAUUUUGAUUUUGAGUUGAGUGAUUAAUUUUCUAUGUUUGCUUACUUUAACUGGGUGACCAAUUUCUUGUAACUAAAUGUAUGAUGUGAUGCAGGAAGCAGGGCAGGAUAUGAAAAGAGAAGCUUAUUAGAGGAAGGAUUGCCAGUAACAGAAUCCAAAGAAAAAGAAACCAUUUCGAGGCAGCAGUUGGCAGUUGGCAGUGAAUGGAGCCCCUUGAAAAAGUUCCCAAGCCGUUGCACUGCAAUUACGAUCAUCCUCGGCCUCAGGUAAUUUCUUCUCCUGCAUUUUUGUUAUUUGCUAUCAAGUGACUAUUUUAAGUAUGAUUGCAUUAAGCUGCUACUGGGAAAUUUGAGGUUUUGAGGACUGCCCAUGCUAUUGUCAGAAGCUGCGGUUCUUUUCAUCAGCCUGAACCUGGACCUGCCGCUAUGGAUAACUCAGGUUUUUUUUUUUUUUAAUCAACUGCCAUCUUUUCCACUGUUUAGAAACUCUUAAGAUUAAACUUUAGUAAAGAUGUUUUAGUUAUCCAUGUAAUCAGGCUGAGGAUACUUAGCUGCCUAUUUAGGCAAAUGUCAGAAUUUAGUUUGUUCGCUGGGAACUGGUGUGGACUGGCAAAGGAUGAUGAGAUAGUUUUUUGAGUGAGUAAAUUUUGGGAGCUUGAGUGUAUUGGGAUUUGCAAUUACAAUCAUCCUCUGCCUCAGGUGAUUUCUUCUCCUGCUCUGUCAUUGUUUGUUCUCUAAUUCAAAAGCAUAAAAUAUUUCAAUCAAUUUUUAUACCAGGAAUAUGCAAAAGUUUCUAAUAUUUUAUUUCCAUCUGUUACAAGAUCAAACUGAAGCAGAACUCAAUCAAAAGUAUGCUGCUUCUUGCGGAAAUCUUGCCUUUGUUCAGAUUAUGAAACCAUUUCCAUGCAGCAAAUUCAUCCAAAAAUUUGAAUAAGUUUCACGGUUGGACACUGUUGGCUUCUUUUUCUUCCGGGGUGCAUUUAGGUGCUAUCAAGUGACAGCUGUAAGUAUGAUUGCACUAAGCUGCCGCUGGGAAAUUUGAGGUUUUGAUGGCUGCCCAUGUUAUUUUCAAUAAACUAUUGAUGUAAGAAGCUGUGGUUCUUUUCAUCAGCUUGAACCUGAAACUGUCGCUAUGGAUAACUCAGGUUUUUGUUAUCAACUAUAUCAUCUUUUUCACUAUUUUGAAACUCUUAAGAUUAAACUUUAGUAAAGUUGUUUCAGCUAUUCAAAUGAAAAACUCAUUGAUUUGAGACUUCCUUCAUUAUUGUUUCUAAUUACAAUGCUAACGAUCCAGAUAAAAUAAUAUUUAAUCAACGAAGGUGUUGAUUGAUUUGAGACUUCCUUCAUUAAUGUAGACUUCCUUCAUUAUUGUUUCUUUUUCUUUUAUUCUAUAAAAUCUUGCAAUGAGCUUAGUGAAGCUGUUGUGCUAAUCAUGCCACUGCAUAAUUUGGCCCCUAAUGUGAGUACUCUGUUACAUUGUUCUGCAAAUUCUCCAGAAGUUAAAAUCAAUAAAUUUUCUAUUAGCUCUAGUGCUUUGACCUAAAUGCUAUUCUAUAUUCUGAUUACAAUGUUUUAACCUUUAAAUUAACUACCCCUAGAUGUUGGAUUUUCUAGAACUUCAAAAUGAUUAAUGGAGAAAGAUCCCAUUAUCGUUAUUGCUAUAAGAAAUUGAUUUAUGCAUCCAAAGAUACAUUAUAUGUUUCUGUGUCUCUAUUUAUAGAUGACACCUAAGCAUCCCAUUAUCUAUUAUUUAUUUUAUAUUUUGAAGAAUUUAAUGGGUAAUCCUAAUUGUUUGUUUAGGCAGGUAUGUGUUGUUAUCUCCUUCUAUCUUACAGUCGUACCUAAAUAGCAUAGUUUCAUCUGUGUUACCAUGUGAUGUACAUAAUUUCACAUUUGCCUCAGAUUAAGCUUAAUUUCCCACAGAAUAGAGCUGCCGCGACUGGACUUAGGUUGAUGUCCAAAGAGGUAAAUUAUUGGCAUGCCUAGAUAAUUUGGCCAUUUCCUAAUUCAUAAGUCUACAUUAAUUUUGAUUUUGAGUUGACUGAUUUCUUUUCAAG